rnacentral:rRNA from 2 species
AAAUCCGGUUCACUUUAACACUGAGGCGUGACGACGAGGCACUACGGUGCUGAAGCAACAAAUGCCCUGCUUCCAGGAAAAGCCUCUAAGCAUCAGGUAACAUCAAAUCGUACCCCAAACCGACACAGGUGGUCAGGUAGAGAAUACCAAGGCGCUUGAGAGAACUCGGGUGAAGGAACUAGGCAAAAUGGUGCCGUAACUUCGGGAGAAGGCACGCUGACACGUAGGUGAAGUGAUUUACUCAUGGAGCUGAAGUCAGUCGAAGAUACCAGCUGGCUGCAACUGUUUAUUAAAAACACAGCACUGUGCAAACACGAAAGUGGACGUAUACGGUGUGACGCCUGCCCGGUGCCGGAAGGUUAAUUGAUGGGGUCAGCGCAAGCGAAGCUCCUGAUCGAAGCCCCGGUAAACGGCGGCCGUAACUAUAACGGUCCUAAGGUAGCGAAAUUCCUUGUCGGGUAAGUUCCGACCUGCACGAAUGGCGUAAUGAUGGCCAGGCUGUCUCCACCCGAGACUCAGUGAAAUUGAACUCGCUGUGAAGAUGCAGUGUACCCGCGGCAAGACGGAAAGACCCCGUGAACCUUUACUAUAGCUUGACACUGAACAUUGAGCCUUGAUGUGUAGGAUAGGUGGGAGGCUUUGAAGUGUGGACGCCAGUCUGCAUGGAGCCGACCUUGAAAUACCACCCUUUAAUGUUUGAUGUUCUAACGUGGACCCGUUACCCGGGUUGCGGACAGUGUCUGGUGGGUAGUUUGACUGGGGCGGUCUCCUCCUAAAGAGUAACGGAGGAGCACGAAGGUUGGCUAAUCCUGGUCGGACAUCAGGAGGUUAGUGCAAUGGCAUAAGCCAGCUUGACUGCGAGCGUGACGGCGCGAGCAGGUGCGAAAGCAGGUCAUAGUGAUCCGGUGGUUCUGAAUGGAAGGGCCAUCGCUCAACGGAUAAAAGGUACUCCGGGGAUAACAGGCUGAUACCGCCCAAGAGUUCAUAUCGACGGCGGUGUUUGGCACCUCGAUGUCGGCUCAUCACAUCCUGGGGCUGAAGUAGGUCCCAAGGGUAUGGCUGUUCGCCAUUUAAAGUGGUACGCGAGCUGGGUUUAGAACGUCGUGAGACAGUUCGGUCCCUAUCUGCCGUGGGCGCUGGAGAACUGAGGGGGGCUGCUCCUAGUACGAGAGGACCGGAGUGGACGCAUCACUGGUGUUCGGGUUGUCAUGCCAAUGGCACUGCCCGGUAGCUAAAUGCGGAAGAGAUAAGUGCUGAAAGCAUCUAAGCACGAAACUUGCCCCGAGAUGAGUUCUCCCUGAGACUUAGAGUCUCCUGAAGGAACGUUGAAGACGACGACGUUG